AAACGUCUGACUUUAUUUAAUCCUGCUAAGGUACAUGUCUAUUUAUUAUGCUUUUUAGAGCUUCAGCCUUCACUCAUUGUAUCAUAUAACAUAUUUCAUGGUGCUUUUUGAUAAUUCUGAAUUUGAUGCGGCAGUCUUAACUUUCUCAUGUCUUUUGGCUUUCUUACUUCGAUUCUAUACGGAAGACCGACUCUUGUCAACUUUCUCCCAGUCUUCUGUCACCUCCGUGAAUUGGAAUUGGGCACGUUUGAUGAUUUGCUCUUAGAAUCUAUAUUCAUUGUUAUGAUUCUCCACAAGUGUCCUCAUUUGAAUCAUCUGAAAUUCAUUCGGGGCAUUUAUGUGAAUUCCGAAACAGUCGAUGAGAUAUUCAACCCUCCGCCUCAGUGUUUCCUAUCGUCGCUCGAGGUGAUCGAAAUUCGAAACUUUGAAGCGGUUUAUGAAGCACUCUCGGCUAUAAAGAUUCUACUGAGGAUCGCUGGAGUUUUAAAGAAAUUACUCAUACAUCCUCCACGGGCACAGCAACUCCCAGGGAACUUGCUGCGACUCCUAAAUACCCUUCCCAGGGCUUCUGACCAAUGUGAAUUUUUGUUAGCUGUGUGAAACUUUUUCCAUGCUUAUCAUUCUGCUUAAUUGACACGAGAUUUAUUCA